UCUCUUUUCCUAUCAAUAUCGAAACUCCCUUCAGGAGUAGCGAAAAUGAGAAGCAAUAUUCUACUUACCAUUAUCUUAGCCAUAGUUCUUGCAGGAGCCCUGCCCAAGAAUGUGGUAGAGGCUCAGAAUUGUGGCUGUGCUGCAAACCUUUGUUGCAGUCAAUAUGGCUAUUGUGGCACUGGCAAUGCCUAUUGUGGUCAGGGAUGUAAACAAGGGCCCUGUGCUUCAUCACCUACGCCUACUACCCCUAGUGGGAGUGGUUCUGUUGCUGAUAUUGUUACGCCUGCUUUCUUCAAUGGUAUAAUCAACCAAGCUGGUGCAGGCUGUGCUGGGAAGAAUUUCUAUACAAGAAAUGCAUUUCUCAGUGCUGUCAAUUCAUAUCCUCAAUUUGGUAAACUUGGUUCAGCUGAAGCUUCUAAGCGUGAGAUCGCAGCUUUCUUCGCUCAUGUUACUCAUGAGACUGGACGUAAGUUCCUCUUCCAUCCCUCAUAACAUUUCUCGCAGCAUUUGAAUAGCAAGCAUGAUAGCCAACAGUAUUCUGUCUGUCUGUCUACCCUGUCUUUUCCACGAAUACAAUUGUCCGCAUAUGGAUUUUGUCAACAAUGUGAACUGUCUAAUAAGCGUGUUUCAGCUCCUCGUGUGUAAGCUGACAAGAGAAAAUGUCUAUUUUUGCAGACUUCUGCUAUACAGAAGAGAUAAAUGGUGCUUCCCGUGACUACUGUGAUGAAAAAAACAGGGGAAUACCCAUGUGUUGCAGGCAAGAAAUACCAUGGCCGCGGACCAAUCCAACUAUCAUGGAACUACAACUAUGGGCCAGCCGGAAGGAGCAACAACUUUGAUGGAUUGAACAAUCCUGACAUUGUAGCAAGGGAUGCUGUUGUGUCAUUUAAGACAGCCUUAUGGUUUUGGAUGAAAAGUGUUCGUCCUGUUGUAAACCAAGGUUUUGGAGCAACUAUUCGAGCCAUUAAUGGUAAUGAAUGCAAUGGUGGAAACUCAGGUGCCGUUCAGGCUCGUGUUAGAUAUUAUAGAGAUUAUUGCAGUCAACUCGGCGUUGCUACUGAGAAUAACCUCGCUUGCUAGGUUUUAAAAUAACCGGAGUUGUUAUGCCAAGUUAUGGCUAAUCAUAUGAAAAUAAGAUGUACUGCUAUGAAACAAGUUGAAGAGAAAUAAAGUUUAUAAUUAUCGUUAUGUCUCUUAUAGUUUUUCAGUAAUUUUGAUGUCCCUUUUUAUAUUUAUUUUUAUUACUUAGAAAAACCUCCACUUUACGUGGCCAUAAAUUUGUUUUGAAAUUCAAUUUACGCCUUGUAUUUUAUUUUCGAUCAAUUUAAUCCAAUUUGACCAAAAGAUUGGAUCCAUCGAACCCAAUAUAUUAGCAAUUUGAAAUUGAAAUCACUAUAUGUGUACAUAUUCAUUUAUUCUUCCAUUUCCGUAAUAAAUUUUCAAAUUUAUGUUAAUAUCAGUAGUAGGAUCUACUCUAAUUAAUAACUUCUUGAGUAAAACAAAAACCAAAGGAAAAAAAAUUAUUUUUAAAUAACUCUUUUUUCCCAGGAAUUAUUUGUCCUCAUUUUAAUAAAUCUUGAUUUUUACAUAUUGCUUAUGCUAGAGACUAGAUAGAGACGAGAAGGGUAUGCGUUUUUUUCCGUCCCAGUUAUACAAGCAUAUUGUUACAAUGAUCUCAAUAAUUUGAACUCUAUAGAAAUUGUUGUUUUAUUUUAAAAAAAUUUAAAUAAAUAAAAAAAUUUCUUCAAAAAAUUUGAAAAUCACUUAGUUUGGAAAUUAAAAAUUUCAUGAAUAUCACCUUUUUUUUGUUUUAUGUUUUUGAAAAUGAAAGGUUGUGUUGCGUUGCCUGUUAUGUUUAAAUACAUGAUAAGCUUAUUUUUUAUUUUUUAAAUUUGGUUGAUUGAUACCGAAAUUAACAAAAGUGUUGGUCAUUGUCCAUCUAUAAUUGCCUUGAAUUGUAAAUAGUAUGUUUGAGAUUGUAGUGAAAAGUUCUUUUUCUUUAAAAUUAUAUCAAGAUAAUAUAUAUAUUUUUUAUAUCAAUACAAAAUAAAAAAAUAAAAAAAUAUUAAUUUAGUGUUUCACGUAAGGACACUAAAAAUCAUGUUGAGCCGACGUUGAACAUCAUCAAUAUUAAUGGAGAGACUUUUCAAAGAAGAUGUCAAGUCCAUUUCUUACAUGAUAGCAAUUGUGGAUUGGGGUCCAUGUCCAUGGACAACAUCGCAUUGAUCUUGAUGUUAAUGAAACAAGUUUGAAAUACAGUGGCAAAAAAUCGAUUUGCCAGACAAAAAAAUGAAAAAUGAAAAAUUAGGCAACUUCCAGUUAUUUCCUUUUGCUUCCCAAUUAUCAUAUUGUUUGGCGGUGCUAGGCCAUGUGAUUGGCUCACUUGACCGACAGCACUAUACGUUGCUACCCAUUUCUUAUCCAGCUAGCUAGAUGCGGAAGAAACGUUGGGGUCUAUUUUAAUAUAUUUUUUUAAAAAAAAUACUUUAAAAAAUAAUCAUAUUGCAUUUCUAAUGAGCUAAUCACCAAGAGAAAAAAAAAGUGUUGCGUGUUAAAAAACCAAUUCAGCCUAAUAACUUAAAUUAUUAUGUUAGAUUUUAAGAUAUGAUUUAUAUUAUUUUAUAAUAUAUUAUUUCAAGUGAAAGUCCUUUGGCUUGUACAGAUUCAUAUUACUUUGUGCUUAAUUUUUUUCAAAUAAAUGAGGAUGAUAAGAUUUGAACUUGUGACCGCUUAAUCAUCAAGAGUUUAAUACCAUGUUAAAAAACUAUUUUAAUCCAAUAGCAUAAACUACUAAAUAAGGUUUUAAAAUAUAAUUUAUAUUUUAUUUUUUAAUAUUAAACUAUUAAAUUAUGAUAUUCUUUAAAACUGUGAGGUAGAAAUUGAGUUGAGUUGAGAAGAGUGUUUCUCCUCCUCUUGUAAUAUGAACGGCAUCUCUAAUUAAUAAAACAGAUAUUGUAUGCCAAUUAGUCAAUAACAUGCGUCGAUUCUGGGCAUCCAUUUUUAUCCUAACAGUUAGCUACAAAAACUAGAAAAAAGAAAAAAAAAAGAGCACUAGAAGACGGCUUCAAUUUUAUUUUUUCCUAACCUUUCAUUUAUGGUGAAAGGUUUUCUCUAUCUUAAAAAUAUAUAGGAAGGGGACGUAGAUUUUGGGUAAGUAGCUAGUCAACGACGGCUAUGCCCAUUCUAUGCCAUUGGGUGCCAGUAACUUCAAAGAGGUACUUCAAACUAUUACCCCUUAGUUUAUGUAUUUUAAAAGUAUAUUUUUUAAAAUUUUAUUUUUUAUUAACUUUAAAUUAAUAUAUUUUUAAUGUUUUAAAAUCAUUUUAAUGUGCUAAUAUCAAAAGUAUUUUUUUUAAAAUAAAAACAAAAUUAUUAAAAUGCAUUUAGACAUAAAAAGUUAUUUAAAGAGCAACCACAACUACACUGCACAAAAUAAAAUAAAUAAUAUAAAAUAAAUAAUAAGAUAUUAUGUUUUCUUUGGUUAGGAGAUAGAGUUGGACAGCCUUUUUCCUCCAAAGUCUGAACUAGCAUGUGGUAAACUAUCAAUUGAAUCUGUGUCUUUAUGUGGACAAGAUUUCUAUUUUCUUGCCUAACUUCUUUCGACUUUUGCUUGAAAUGGUAGUGGUUGCCUGAAAAGUAAUACCCAUAAGCCAGCAAUGGAACAAACAAUUGGUAGGUAUGAUUACCAUCUAUCGUGUGCUGCCUGUAACAGAACAAUACAAAAUUAAAACUUCAUGUUUAAAAAAAAAAAAAACUAACUUUAUGAAUAUCCAAAAGCCUUGAAAUGAUUUAGACAAAAAAUCCACCGUGAGUGAUUGGAUGUUCAAAUAUCUCAUUCGCUGCGACGAGGUCGGAUGUUAGAAAUAUGGGUGAACUCUCCUCCAGUUUUGAAUAGCUUUAGCUUCCUCGGUUUUUCCUAUAUUUGAGAUACGACUCGAAAACAAAAGGGUUGAUAUUAUUUUACAUAUAUACGACAUGUAUUGCAUAUAUAUAUAUAUAUAUAUAUAUAUAUAGAUCCAUGAUAUACAGCGGGUUAAUAAAUUAAUUUUUUCAAAUAUCAAAAAAAUAUAAAAAGUAUAGAAAUUUUUUUAAAUAUUCUUAAAGUAUCCUAAAUAAUUGUUUUGUAAAACAUUAUUUAAACUACCCUUAAAAUAUCAUAAACAAAAAUGCUAAUUAAAUUUUUUAUAUAUUUUAAAAAAAAAAAUUAAAAUUACCCUUGAAGUGUCAUAAAUAAUGUUUUUUUAAUUUUUUUAAAAAAUAUAAAAUACCCUUCAAGUAUCUUAAAUAGAUAUACUAAUUAGUUUUUUUUAUAGAUAUUGUUUAUUAAAAAAAAUAUUUGAACUACCCUUGAAGUAUCCUAUAUCAUUUAUUGUAUAAAUGUUUUCUAUUGUUUAUAAAAAAUACAUUUAAAUUAUCAUUGAAGUAUCAUAAAUAAUUUUUUUAAUAUAUAUUUUUAUUUUUUAUAUAAAAAAAUUAAAUUACCCUUAAAGUAUCCUAAACAAAACACUAAUUAAUUUUUUUUAUAUAAAUAUUUUAUUUUUAAAAAAUAAAUAGGUUUGGCAGCCAUGCCAGACCCAAUAAUCUUGGGUCUCGCAGUAAUACCAAGCCCAGGAUCCUUGGGUCUGGUGGCAAUCCGAGACCCAAGAACGCUGGUUCUGGAGGCUAAACCAUACACAAUAGCUUUAUGUUUGGUGGCCAUGUCAAACCCACUAUGCUUGGGUCAGGUGGUUAUGCCUUGACUCAACACGUUGUAGCAACUUUUAGAAUAAAAAAUGAAAAAGAUAAAAAUGCCAAAAAAAAUUAUUUUUUUCUAGUUUUUAUAUAUAAAAAAUGAAACUAUCCUUAAAGUAUUCUAAACUGAAAUUCUAAUUAAUGUAUUUUAAAAUUUUAUUACUAUUUUUAUUAAAAACAUAAACUACCCUUGAAUUAUUAUAAAGAAAAACGCAAAUUAAUUUUAUUUAUAGUGUUUUUUUUUUGUUUUUAUAUAAAAAAAUAUUAAAACUACCCUUGAAGUAUCUUAAAUAUUUUUUUAAAAAUAUUUUCUAUUUGUUAUAAAACCAUUUAAACUACCCUUGAUGUAUCUAAAUAAAAAUACUAAUUAGUUUUUUUAUAAAUUUUAUUUAUUUUUUUGAAAAAAAAACAUUUGAACUACCAUUGAAGUAUCCUCAAUAAUUUUUUUUUAAUUUCUAUUAUUUUUUAUAAAAACAAACAUUUAAACUACUAUUGAAGUAUCAUAAACAGAAAUGCAAAUUAAUUUUUUUUAUUUUUUAUUUAUAAAAAAUAUUAAAACUACCCUUAAUGUAUCCUAAAUAAAUUUUUAAAAAACGUUUAGUGCACGUUUGUAAUAAAUUGAAUGAUCAUCCAAUGAAUGUAAGUUUUUUAAUAAUGAGUUGUUAAGUUAUAUAUUCAGAUUAUUUGAUUACUCUACAAAUUUUAAUUUUCUUUUUGCAUAUUAAAAGUUCAUAAAGAUUUUAAUACAUCAUUACAAGUUUGUAACUAUAGGUUUGGAGUUGUAAGAAAAGUGUAAUGUUUAUAUCAAUAACAUUAAAUUUAACUUUUAACUUUGAAAUUCAAAAUCCUUUAAAUUGAAUGGAGGUAGGCAUAAAAGAACCCGAAUCACUGGGUCUUCCAAAUCAAAGAUCCAGUUUAUAUAGGUUAUAUUGUCAUUAAAGUGUCCAAAGCACAAACUGUGCUCCACUAGUUUAGUUUUCAAAGCUGCAAAGCUUCAAUCUCAACAUAUAUUUGCACACAAAAUAGUUGCAGGGAUCAGUAAAUCUUGAGAAAAAACAACUAAUUAAUGGGAUAAAAGAAAGAUCCAAUAGUUUUUCGAUACAAACAAUAUAAUUUCAUACUGAUAGGUCUUGUGAGCAAGCUGCAUCUUUCCUUUCCAAGAUGAAAUUCAUGUGAAAUAUUUUUUUCGACAGUCCAACUCUUUCAUUUUUCGGUUUCUGUUCUUUCAAUCUUAACUGAAAAAUUAGACUUAUACCAAUCAACUUCUUCAACUAGGAUGUAAUAUUAGCACUGAAACUAUAUAUAUAUAUAAUUGCAGCUCGAUCACUAUCCUAGUCUUUCUAUUAAAAAUUAUGAGUACUGCAAAUUACAAAACCACUUGUAUAAACUGGCUUUGACCCCUACCAGAACCUUGCUAGGAUAAUAAAAAAGAAUAAACCCAUCACUUUUUAUUUAUUGUCAUGAAUAUGAUAAAACUAAACUAGCUGUUUCUUACUGUUGUAACCCAUUUUCGGGUCCCCACAAAAAUAAAAUAAAAUAAAUAGCCAAAGAAGGUUAGAAAAAUAACAGGAGGUAGAAGCGCUCAGAAAAUGGUCGGAAAAUUGGUCAAGGAGGUAAAAAAAUACAAAGAUUGGAUUUUUGACAGUAUAUUCUUGAAGGAUGAGAGCCCUAUUGAGAAGGAAAAUUUGAAUUUUGAGGAGAAAAGCCCAAGUUUGGAUGUUUAUGGACUUAAUUGGUUUUUUAAAUGAUUUUAUAGGGGAUUUGAUUGCAAGAAAAAUUGAUUUUUAAGUCAAUUUGGGCUUUAAUUGAAAGAAAUUUAAGUUCUGGGGCCAAAAUAUAUUUUUUAGGAAUUUUUUAGGUCAAAUCAGGGGCUUAAUUGCAUAAAUAUUGAAGUUUAAUGGCCAAUUAGAGACUUAAUUAAGAAAAUUCGAAACCAGGGACCAAAUUGGAAGAGGCGCGUAAAUGGAAGGGCUGUAAUUAUUCUGUUCAGGGGCCUAAUUGAAGAAAUUGAAAGUUUAUUAAUCAAUUGAGGGCUCAAUUGCAUAAAUCAGAGGCCAAGGACUAAAGUGAAAAACACGGCCAACAAGAGGGGCGGGGACCGAAUUUGACAGGGAUACAAUUGAAAUGAACAAGAAAUGAUGGAGGGUUGAUUUGAAAUUUGGCUCAUUUAAAUGAAACGGUGCGUUUUUUUCAAAACGACGCCGUUUCAUAUAUAUAUAUAUAUAUAAAAGGAAGACCAGAACGGUGUCGUUUUGAACAAUACUGUUCAUCUUCCUCCUUCCCCCCGAAUCAGCAGUAGCAGGAGACGAAAACCAUUGUUUUCAAACCUUCCCGGCUCUCUCUCCUCGCCCCCACCGAAGCCCCCCACACCUUUAGACCACCGAACGAGUCACUGGCCGACCAGUCGUUGUGUGAUUUGCUCCCCGCACUAGCAAAAGGCGCACUGAUUCUUCCCCUAUAAAUAGAGAGUUAAACCGAAGAGAGAAAGGACCCGAGGAGAGAGGCAUAAGAGAAAUAACGCACGAAGGAGAGGGGAGAGCAGGAACAAAACGAAAACAAAGAAACCGAAACCGAAAACAGAAAACAAACCGAGGAGGAGAAAGCCACUAAGAACGAAAAAACAGGGGAAAGGGGAAGAUGAAGAAAUUUCUCGCCGCCGUUAGGAAUAACAGCAACACCGCCCGGAGCCCCCGUUCGCGAGCCACGCCACCGCAGCACCACCAGUGACCGCCUCCUCCACGCCAAGUACAUUUUCUUCUUCCCCCUUGCUUUCGUUUUCAUUGCAAGCGUUACCUCCUGCAUGCAGGAGGCGGGGGGAAGAAAAAUAAUUCUUCCCCCUGCUGGGCCGUAGGGUGCUGGGCCAGCCCGAUGCUGGCCCAACCUUGCAAGUCUGGGUCGGUCCUGGCCCAGACUGUAGAAGUUUUUUGGGCCGAGAUCGGCCCAAUGUUCAUUUUGGGCCGAGGUCGGGCCGCCUUUUUUGGGCUGCGCCUGGCCCAUUUAUUUGGGCCGGCCCAGCCCCAUAAUAUAAUAUAUUAUAAAUUAUAAUAUAUAUGUGUGUAUAUAUAUAUUAUAUUAAAAAAAUAUAAUAAUAAAAAAAAUCUUUUUUGAAAAAUAUUAUUGAUUUUCCUACAUAUUUUUGUCAAAAUGGCUUAAUGUUGGUUUGUAUUUUUAUACCGUAAAGAUACAAAACCAGUGUGUUAAAAAUACCCGGUUUUCGUCAAAACAUCAAAGAUUUUCAGAAUAAAAAAAAUGUUUUUGCUUUCAAACAAAUUAUAAAAAGUCCCUAAAAAUGUUGUUGAUUUUUUCUGCAUAUUUUUAUUAAAGUGGAUUAAUAUUGGGUUGUAUUUUUAUACCGUAAGGAUACAAACUCAGUAUUAAAAUACCCGAUUUUUGUUAAAGCAUAAAAAAAAAUAUAUUUUUUUUAAAAAUUGUUUUUGUUUUAAAAUACGGCCUAGUCUCUCCAAUAUAUAUAUAUAUAUAUAUAUAUAUAUAUAUAUAUUGGAGAGACUAGGCCGUAUUUUAAAACAAAAACAAUUUUUGGCUUUAAUAAUAAGUUUAUAUAUAUAUUAUAACAUCAUAUUUUCACACAACAAAGGAAAUUUCAAAACAAUAUAUGUAUUAGCAUGCAUUUUGGCUUUAAUAAUAAGUUUAUUCAAGCCAUGAGAACUAGGCCAAUAUUUCAAAAAUUCCAAAAAAAUUAUUGUGUUUUCUUUUAGUAUUUGGGGUUACGAUCUUAUACGUAAGACGUAAUCCGAAUAUUAAAUUCUUUUGUUAACAUCAUAAUUACCCAUUAAGAUAAGGAUCUCCUUACCGAGGAGGACUUUUCUUGAACCAUACCAACAACUAGAAAAACCCGAAAAUACCUUAGAUUUUAUCAGACAAUAAAACAAUGCAGCUUACCUUAGGUAGGGUGUAUUUGGGGUGCUAAUACCUUCCCUUUACGCAACCAGUCCCCGUACCUAAUCUCUGAGACCAGUUAGGGUUCCUAGUGAUCAAAAUACUAGGUGGCGACUCCCAUUCCAUUUUUUCCACCAACAAAAGACAAUAUUUUCUUGUCUCCCCAAUAUAUGCCACAUAGAAAUAGAUUUACACAUUUUUAUUUCUAUUAAAAUGGAAACUUUUAUUUUCGCCGCGACGCCGCACACGUGCGACACUUACGAUGCUAUAUAAAAAGAUUUAAAAUCACCAAGAUUUUGUACUUGGUUUGUAGUAAAAUAGAAUUUUGAUUUGUUUCUUCCUGCAAUCCUCGCAUGAAAAAUAGCAUUAAUGAAAGAAUCUAUGGAAGUAAAAAGGUCACUUUGGCUAUCUUUCAUAUCCAUGUGAUCACUCUAAAAUAAUAGAAGUGUUGGAAAAGCCAUUUAAUGAGUAGCUAAAAGCCCAAAGGAUAUUAUCUUUGUCACACGGGGGGCACGAUGUCAGGGGUGAUGACAAGCUUUUCAUGCCUCCUGAGGAGGUGUCGUUGUUGGGAAAAGAAAUAGGUUUGGGUUUAGUCAUAAGAUUAUAAUUAAAAUUUAGGAGUCGCAAUCUAGUAUUAUAAUAAAUAGAAACCUAUGAUUUGCAAGAGUCCGGGUAAGAGACUAGUUAUGCCAGGGUAUGACACAUCACCCCUAGUGCACUCUACCUAAGAUACAUUGCAUUGUUACUUGAUUGUUUUUCUAUGUCAAGUUAUAUUCGUUGGUCUUUUUUUUUAAGGUUCAAGGUAGAUCUUUCUUCGUAAAUCUCUACCUCAUCGAGUUUAAUUAUAACUAUUCUAAAGAUCAAAUUUUAGCAUUGCAUUUAUUUUACACUUUAUAUCUUUAAUUCUAAAAGAUAUACUCUACUAUGUAGUUUUAUACCACACAGAUGUUAAAGUCUAAAUCUAAACCCUAGGAAAAUGAUUGGUAAAGUGUUUUUAACAAUUUAGUCAAAUUCUAAUGGACAAUCAUAAACUAGUUAUAAUAUCCAAAUUUUUAUUUUUUAAAACAUGAAAAAGAUGCAUUUUGUUUAAUGAAAAUAUGUUUGGGAAACUUUUUAGGAUUUGGAUAUAUGCAUAAAAACAAAAAAUGUAUAUUUUUUAUUUUUUGAAAUGGGAAAUUAAUUUAGAAGUUUUGAAAUUUAUUUUGAUUUUUUUUAAUAUUAUUUAGAAAUAUUUCAGAGAAAAUCAGGUAUGUUAAUACCGGAUUUGUAUCUUAUAAUGUAAAUAUACUACCUAAUAUUAUACAAAAUUGAUAAAAAAACAUUCGAGAAAAUUAAAAUGUUUUUAGAAAGAUGUUUUAUUUUUUUAUAAUAUUAUAUUAUAUUAUAAAUAAAUAGAUAUUAAAUAAAUAUGGAUAGUGCAGCCCAACUAACUAGAUGGAACUUAACCCAAGAAAUAUAAGGUUGAUCCCAACCCACCAAGGGUGUUGGGCCAAUCUUGUUGCAACACUUUUUUUUUACGUUUUUAGUACGGAUUAGAACCAUCCUAAUUAUUUGGGAUGGGCUAGAAAUAGCCUCACUCAAAGUUCAUUGCAUGAAUAGUUGAACAUGAAGUAUACAAUGGGUUAUAAUUCAUACCCAUUGUAUGAUUAGUAGGUUAGUAGGAUGUGAAUUACAAUCUAUGCUCACUGUUUAUGUGAACAGAAAGGGAAGAAAAGGAAAGGGGCUCACUUGGCUCAGGGAUUGCGGAUAUCGUCAAAUGAAAUGCAAUUACAAUUUCAGGAUGUGUUAGCAACAAUUCCACGACGUCGCAUCCAAUGUUUCUCAGACGCAUGAAGCACAAGGCUAAGCUUCUGUCUUCAAGUGGAAGUCUACAGCAUAUUGAAGAUGAAUGUGAGGUGGAAUCCCAAGGCUCACUGGACUCAGGAAUCAGACAAGGGAAUCUUCGUUGUUUAACAUCUUCAAAUUCUGUUGUUGAGGCAGAGGUGCAGGGAACGUUGAAAACUGGGCGGGCAUUGGUUUUGGAUGUUGAGGACUUGCAGGUGCUGGAACAUCCAUUAGAGGCCAGGUGGACAGAAAGCUGGAAGAUUGGAAUGACGACCAAUAAUGCCAUUUUGCAGCUCGACAGUGGAUAUGUAUUACCUUCUUUCUUAAUGAAGAUCUUACUCUGGAAUAGAUGUGGAUUGGGUAUGUCUGCUAAGGGGGUAUCGAUUAGGAAUACUGUUCUGCAUAAUGACAUUAAGGUGUGUUUUCUGCUAGGAACUAAGAGGGCAAUGUGCUGUGACAAUUUUGUUCAUGCAUUAUAGAAUAACUUAUCAGUCAAAUGGUUUCCACUUAAUUCAGUUGAUUAGGCUGGAGGUAUUUUAGCUACGUGGGAUGAAAGUAAGUUCAUGGUUCAUUCAAUUGAAUAUUGGAUUGGCAUAUUGAGAAGCAAUUUACUUGUGCAAUCAUAGGAGUCUAUGCAGGAAUCAUAGUUCAUGUGAGACACCUUUGUUCAUUGUUGGGGACUUCAAUGAAACAUUGCAUCAGUGUAAAAGUAACAGUGGCUAUUUGAAUGGCAUUGGUUCUACGGAUUUCAAAAGAUUCAUAUCCAAUUGCAAUCUUUUGGAGUAUCCCCUCUCUGGUCACCGAUACACAAGAUUUCAUGGCAACUCAAUGAGUAGAACUGAUAGAGCCUUUGCCACUCCAUACUUCCAUUUAACAUUCUCAGGUCUCCUACUCAAUCGGUUUCCACAAGAAUUGUCUGAUCACUGCCCAAUGAUCUUAGGACUGCAAUGCCAAACUUGGAGAUGGAAGCCAUUUCGUUUCCUCAAUUGUUAGGUCUCUAAGCCUAUGUCUAUGGACAAACUUGAGGGUCUUUGCCAGGAGUGUAGUAUUAAGGACAAUGGGAGACUUCACAUGGUUAAAAAGCUUGCCUUUAUGGCUAUGAAAUUCAGAAUAUGGAAUAGAAAGGAAUUUGGCAAUCAGGACUUGAAACUGUUGCAGCUUUAGCGUGACAUCCAGCGACUGGAGAAUAUAGAAGAGGACAAACAGCUUAACCAUGAAGAACUUUCUAUGCUGCAAAUCUUGCGCUCUAAGCCGUCGGAAAUCAACAAGUUUGUGGAAUCAAUCUGCAGUACAAAAUCAAGACAGACCUGGUGCAAGCCUUGGAGAUAACAAUACAAAAUUCUUCCACAUUAUAGCUAAUAUUCGAAGGAGUGGAAAACUCUAUCACUCGUAUCAGAUACAAUGAUAUACUGCAUACCUUUCCCAAGGACAUCAAGGAGGCGGCAAUAUCCUAUUUCUCAAGUCUGUUCACUAAUGAAAUCUCUACAAGAGCUACAAUGGGGUUCAAUAAACUAUCCAUAAUGCAAACUCAACAACUUGAACAAGCGGUAACUAUGGAAGAGGUCAAGCAAAUGAUUUGGAGUUGUGAUGGAACAAAAGCCCCAGGUCUUGACUGCUUCACCUUCAUUUUCUAUAAAAACGCAUGGCAUUUGAUAGGGCCUAACAUUUUUUAUAUGGUGCUUGAAUUUUCUGGACUAAGGAAAUUACCAACAGGAAUUAACAUCUCUCAUAUGGCCUUUGUUCCAAAAUCAAAGCUAUCUACAGAAUUUUCAGAGUAAGGCCAAUAAGUUUAGUGCAUGGCUUGUACAAAAUUAUAGGUAAACUGCUAUCCAACAAAUUGAAAGUCAUUAUGCUUUGUUGUAACACAUUUUCGGGUCCUUACAAAAAUAAAAAUAAAAUAAAUAGCCAAAGAAGGUUAGAAAAAUAACGGAAGGCAGAAGCACUCAGAAAAUGGUCAGAAAAUUAGUCAAGGAGUAUAAAAAUACAAAGAUUGGAUUUUUGACAGUAUAUUCUUGAAGGAUAAGGGCCCUGUUUAGAAGGAAAAUUUAAAUUUUGAGGAGAAAAGCCCAAAUUUGAAUGUUUAUGGACUUAAUUGGUUUUUUAAUUGGAUUUAUAGAGGAUUUGAUUGCAAGGAAAAUUGAUUUUUAAGUCAAUUUGAGCUUUAAUUAGAAGAAAUUUAAGUUCUGGGGCCAAAAUAUAUUUGUUAGGAUUUUAUUGGGUCAAAUCAGGGGCUUAAUUAUAUAAAUAUUAAAGUUUAAUGGCCAAUUAGGGACUUAAUUGAGAAAAUCCGAAACCAGGGAUCAAUUUGGAAAGGCGUGUAAAUAGGGGGGCUGUUUGGGAUUGAUCCGGGGUCAAAUUGAAAGAAAUUGAAAACUGGAGGACUAAUGUCGACUGUUACUGUUCACUUUCUUCCUCAAAAAGCUGUCUGAGUGGCUGCUUUCCAGGCGCAUUUUCCUGCUCGUGUGGCCUCCAAAUCUGACCAAACUUGCACCAAAAUGUCCACAUGAAACCCCUUUAUCCCGGAAAAUGGUCCGGUCAGGUCGGAAAAGUUAGAAAAGACUCCGUUGAGUGGCUCAAAGUGGCCACCUCGGGCAGUUCACACCCUUGAGCUGCCAAAUUUGGCAGCUCGAGGUGCACACUUUGAGCCAACGGUUGAGAUGCUUCCCAACUGAAUCAAGGGCUGCAAUAUUUCCCCAACGUAGACAAGAUUGCCCUCUUCCACGGCCUAUAAAUAGAGUCGGAUUUGAUGAUAUGAAGGGGGAGAAAGUCGGUUCCAAAGUCAGCCAAAAACCAGCAUUUUCACCCAAUUUCUGCAGAUUUUUCUUCUCUUCUUUCUUCCUCUGCAACAGGAACCCGACGCCGUCUUCCUCCAACUCCACAGCUGCAACCACCGUCUGAACCACCUCAUCACAGCAUCCACAACCCCUUCGGCCAAGUGAGCCCCUCUUCCUUUCCUCCUUUUCUUCUUCUUCUUCCUCCUUACCUACUGUUCACUGCAUGAACAGUAGGCGUGAAAUAUAAACUGACAAGAGAAAAUGUCAUAUUUUGCAGACUUCUGCUAUAUAGAAGAGAUAAAUGGUGCUUCCGGUGACUACUGUGAUGAAAACAACAGGGAAUACCCAUGUGUUCCACGCAAGAACUACUAUGGCCGCGGACCACUCCAACUAUCAUGGAACUACAACUAUGGGCCAGCCGGAAGGAGCAACAACUUUGAUGGAUUGAACAAUCCUGACAUUGUAGCAAGGGAUGCUGUUGUGUCAUUUAAGACAGCCUUAUGGUUUUGGAUGAACAGAGUUCGUCCUGUUGUAAGCCAAGGUUUUGGAGCAACAAUUCGAGCCAUUAAUAGUAUAGAAUGCAAUGGUGGAAACGCAGGUGCUGUUCAGGCUCGUGUUAGAUAUUAUAGAGAUUAUUGCAGUCAACUCGGCGUUUCUACUGAGAAUAACCUCACUUGCUAGGUUUUUAAAUAACCUGAGUUGUUAUGCCAAGUUAUGGAUAAUCAUAUGAAAAUAAGAUGUACUGCUAUGAAACAAGUUGAAGAGAAAUAAAGUUUAUAAUUAUCGUUAUGUCUCUUAUAGUUUUUCUUUUGAUGUCCCUAUUUUAUAAAUGAAAAAUUCAAAAAAAAUAUUUUUUAUAUAUUUUUUCUUGAAAAAAUUCAAAAUUGUUUCAGGUGGAAGGGGAAAACAAUCUCAGAGGUUUGCAAAGGCCAUAUCAACAAAAAUAUAUUAAGCUUCUAUUAUUAAUGGCCUCCCACUUUUUAAACCAUCUUUUUUUCUGAAAUAUGAUAGUCUAUCAAUUUUGUUAUCAGCACAGACUAUAAAAUAGGAGUGGCUUUGAAGAACAACUGCUGGAUUAAGAUUAGCAAUGAGAGCAAUAUUCACUUCUAAAUAGGCAAGUGGCUGGCUGGUGGGCUGUUAAAAGAUAUUUAUCCACACCUUUUCUCCUUCAUCACAACACCUUCUCCCUGCUUGUUAGAUAUAGGGGACAAUGCUAAAACUUAGCGGCAAUGAAGACUUCACUGAAAAGAUGCUUGCGGACAUUAGAAGAGGAGCAAUUAAAUGACAUGAAUCGACUGUUAGCAGGGGUAACAUUGCAGUCAAGCAGAGGUGAUAAAAAAAUAUGGGCAGGAGGAGACACAAGCGGGCUAUAUAUCAAGUAUGACAAUGAUUUAAUUGAUUACAUUCUAUUUCUAGGAAACUUCAUAUUCACUUCCCUUUUGUGGAAAGGAUCUGCCCCGCCAAAGGUAGAAAUGUUCAUAUGGAUAUUGCUCCGAAGCAGAGUAUAUACAAGAGCCUUUCUAGCACACCGCCAUUUACUACAUCCCAGUCAAGCUAUAUAUCCCUUUUGUGAACAUGAAAGAGAGCAUGCUCCUCAUCUUUUCCUUCAUUGCUACCACAUGUGGAGAUUAUGGAAAUGAUUUUUGAGAUGGUUUGAUAGCUUUAAGUGUAUGUUAAAUACAAUAGAUCAAGUCAUCUGGCAAUGGAGUGACAUGGUCAAAGGUAAGUUCCAACUCAUACUCCAUCGUCUUGCACUAUAGUUAAAUGUCUGGAAUAAUAAUUUUUCGUAUACAAAGAAUGGUUUGAUUAAAGAUCCUUAAGGUAUUUUGACAUGGUCUAAUAAGUUAUGAGUUCUUGUCUGGAGGAGCUUGUUAGCAGCAUCUCCUUUCUCCUUGUUUUCCCGUUAGCUACCGGUUCUUAAGUUUCUUUAGUUAAGUCAUUCAUCAUACGUAAUUUAAGCUCUUAAUGAGAGGAAAAUGUAGGGUUGGAAAAAAGUUAGGUGGGAAGUGAUAAUCAGUACAUACCAAGCCAAAUAAGAUUGUCUGAUCUAGAAAUAGAUACAGAGGACUCAAUAGGAUUGUGUCUGAUGUAGUGAUAAAGUUUCUACCUUUUAUGGUAUAUAACUCUCUGACCACUUCAACAACAUGCCACGUAAAGACAUUAAUGUCAUUAUCCUAGAUAUUUUUGCUAAACUUUAUAGACUAAAUAAUAAUCAACUCCUAGAUAUUUUACAGUAAAAUUACAGACCUCGUCCACUUUGUGCCUCUAUAAAUAGCUUAACCUCGACCUUAUCUCCACACAUCACAAGAAAUUCCCUUCUCUCUUUUCCUAUCAAUAUCGAAACUCCCUUCAGGAGUAGCGAAAAUGAGAAGCAAUAUUCUACUUACCAUUAUCUUAGCCAUAGUUCUUGCAGGAGCCCUUCCCAAGAAUGUGGUAGAGGCUCAGAAUUGUGGCUGUGCUGCAAACCUUUGUUGCAGUCAAUAUGGCUACUGUGGCACUGGCAAUGCCUAUUGUGGUCAGGGAUGUAAACAAGGGCCCUGUGCUUCAUCACCUACGCCUACUACCCCUAGUGGGAGUGGUUCUGUUGCUGAUAUUGUUACGCCUGCUUUCUUCAAUGGUAUAAUCA
rnacentral:lncRNA from 1 species